rnacentral:rRNA from 1 species
CACGUAGGCGGCUAUGUAAGUCGGAUGUGAAAGCCCUGGGCUCAACCCAGGAAGUGCAUCCGAUACUGCAUGGCUUGAGUCUCGGAGAGGGUGGUGGAAUUCCUGGUGUAGAGGUGAAAUUCGUAGAUAUCAGGAGGAACACCGGUGGCGAAGGCGACCACCUGGACGAAGACUGACGCUGAGGUGCGAAAGCGUGGGAGCAAACA